rnacentral:rRNA from 1 species
UGGGGAAUAUUGCACAAUGGAGGGAACUCUGAUGCAGCAACGCCGCGUUCGGGAUGACGGCCUUCGGGUUGUAAACCGCUUUCAGCCAUGACGAAGCUUUUGUGACGGUAGUGGUAGAAGAAGCACCGGCUAACUACGUGCCAGCAGCCGCUGUGAUACGUAGGGUGCGAGCGUUGUCCGGAUUUAUUGGGCGUAAAGAGCUUGUAGGCGGUUUGUCGCGUCGAUAGUGUAAACACGCAGCUUAACUGUGUGCCUGCUGUCGAUACGGGCUGACUAGAGGAGGGUAGGGGAGAAUAGAAUUCCCGGUGGAGCGGUGGAAUGCGCAGAUAUCGGGAGGAACACCAAUGGCGAAGGCGGUUCUCUGGACCUUUACUGACGCUGAGAAGCGAAAGCGUGGGUAGCAAACAGG